rnacentral:rRNA from 1 species
GAUGAACGCUGGCGGCGUGCCUAAUACAUGCAAGUCGAGCGAACGGACGAGAAGCUUGCUUCUCUGAUGUUAGCGGCGGACGGGUGAGUAACACGUGGAUAACCUACCUAUAAGACUGGGAUAACUUCGGGAAACCGGAGCUAAUACCGGAUGAUAUUUUGAACCGCAUGGUUCAAAAGUGAAAGACGUUCUUGCUGUCACUUAUAGAUGGAUCCGCGCUGCAUUAGCUAGUUGGUAAGGUAACGGUUUACCAAGGCAACGAUGCAUAGCCGACCUGAGAGGGUGAUCGGCCACACUGGAACUGAGACACGGUCCAGACUCCUACGGGAGGCAGCAGUAGGGAAUCUUCCGCAAUGGGCGAAAGCCUGACGGAGCAACGCCGCGUGAGUGAUGAAGGUCUUCGGAUCGUAAAACUCUGUUAGUAGGGAAGAACAGAUGUGUAAGUAAAUGUGCACAUCUUGACGGUACCUAAUCAGAAAGCCACGGCUAACUACGUG